rnacentral:rRNA from 1 species
GAUGAACGCUGGCGGCGUGCCUAAUACAUGCAAGUCGAGCGAACAGACGAGGAGCUUGCUCCUCUGACGUUAGCGGCGGACGGGUGAGUAACACGUGGAUAACCUACCUAUAAGACUGGGAUAACUUCGGGAAACCGGAGCUAAUACCGGAUAAUAUAUUGAACCGCAUGGUUCAAUAGUGGAAGACGGUUUUGCUGUCACUUAUAGAUGGAUCCGCGCCGCAUUAGCUAGUUGGUAAGGUAACGGCUUACCAAGGCAACGAUGCGUAGCCGACCUGAGAGGGUGAUCGGCCACACUGGAACUGAGACACGGUCCAGACUCCUACGGGAGGCAGCAGUAGGGAAUCUUCCGCAAUGGGCGAAAGCCUGACGGAGCAACGCCGCGUGAGUGAUGAAGGUCUUCGGAUCGUAAAACUCUGCUAUUAGGGAAGAACAAAUGUGUAAGUAACUAUGCACGUCUUGACGGGACCUAAUCAGAAAGCCACGGCUAACUACGU